rnacentral:misc_RNA from 1 species
UGCCAAUGGGCCCUGCUGCUUUGGUAUGUUUCUUUUUCCUGUGUUGGCAUUUAUAAUUUAGAUUACAAAGAUGGGGUUUAAUAUAAUUUUCAUGAAAUUAAACUUGUUUCUUUGUUGAAUUAUUGAAUUUGUAUGAAUGGAUGGAUUACUUGAUGAUAAUAUUAAAUGCUUUAAGUUCUCUUUAUCAUUCAGCGUUUUUCUGUGCUGUGCACCAUGCCAUCAUUAGCAGAAAUGCAAGGUCAUACUCAUACACAUGUACAUGUGUGUUUUUCACUAUGUUUUCAAGAAAGAAUCGGAAGAAACCCCCCCAA